rnacentral:rRNA from 1 species
UGGGGAAUUUUGGACAAUGGGCGAAAGCCUGAUCCAGCAAUGCCGCGUGUGUGAAGAAGGCCUUCGGGUUGUAAAGCACUUUUGUCCGGAAAGAAAUCCUUGGCUCUAAUACAGUCGGGGGAUGACGGUACCGGAAGAAUAAGCACCGGCUAACUACGUGCCAGCAGCCGCGGUAAUACGUAGGGUGCAAGCGUUAAUCGGAAUUACUGGGCGUAAAGCGUGCGCAGGCGGUUUGCUAAGACCGAUGUGAAAUCCCCGGGCUCAACCUGGGAACUGCAUUGGUGACUGGCAGGCUAGAGUAUGGCAGAGGGGGGUAGAAUUCCACGUGUAGCAGUGAAAUGCGUAGAGAUGUGGAGGAAUACCGAUGGCGAAGGCAGCCCCCCUGGGCCAAUACUGACGCUCAUGCACGAAAAGCGUGGGGAGCAAAACAGGAUUUAGAUACCCCUGGUAGUCCACGCCCUAAACGAUGUCAACUAGUUGUUGGGGAUUCAUUUCCUUAGUAACGUAGCUAACGCGUGAAGUUGACCGCCUGGGGAGUACGGUCGCAAGAUUAAAACUCAAAGGAAUUGACGGGGUCAUAGCUGUUU